rnacentral:rRNA from 1 species
AUGGCCAUUCCGGCUAAAGCCAGCAGCUCCUUCUCCAUGUCCUGCCUCUUGGCCGCCAUCUUCCUCUUCUCCUCGGCGCCACGGAGCCACGGCGGCAGCAUCGCCAUCUACUGGGGCCAGAACGGCAACGAGGGCACCCUGGCCGAGACCUGCAGCACCGGCAACUACGCCUUCGUCAACAUCGCCUUCCUCUGCAGCUUCGGGUCGGCCCAGGAGACCCCGCAGCUCAACCUGGCGGGCCACUGCGACCCCUACUCCAACGCCUGCACCAACCUCACCGCCGACAUCAACCUCUGCCAGUCCAAGGGCGUCAAGGUCAUGCUCUCCAUCGGCGGGGGCGCCGGCGGGUACACGCUCAACUCCGAGCAGGACGCGGCCGACCUGGCCAAGUACAUCUGGGACAGCUUCCUCGGCGGGAGCUCACCCAAGCGGCCGCUCGGCGCCGCCGUACUCGACGGCGUCGACUUCGACAUCGAGGGAGGGAACCCAGACUACUACGGCGCCCUGGCGGCGCACCUCAAGGCCUACGGCGGCAAGGGGGGCAGCAAGGAGGUGUACCUGUCGGCGGCGCCGCAGUGCCCGUUCCCGGACCAGUGGGUCGGCAAGGCGCUCCAGACCGGCCUCUUCGACUACGUGUGGGUGCAGUUCUACAACAACCCGCCGUGCCAGUACGUGCAGGGGGACACGGCCAACCUCAUGGACUCGUGGAAGCAGUGGACGUCGGGGGUCCACGCCAAGUACAUCUUCCUCGGGCUGCCGGCGGCGCCGGCGGCCGCAGGGAGCGGGUUCAUACCGGCGGGGAGCCUGGAGUCGCAGGUGCUCCCGGCGCUCAAGGGCUCCAGCAAGUACGGAGGGGUGAUGCUGUGGUCCAAGUUCUACGACGACCAGGACGGCUACAGCUCCGCCAUUAAGAACGCCGUCUGA